UACGUAGGGUGCAAGCGUUGUCCGGAAUUAUUGGGCGUAAAGAGCUCGUAGGCGGUGUGUCGCGUCGGCCGUGAAAACCUGCAGCUUAACUGUGGGCGUGCGGGCGAUACGGGCAGACUGGAGUACUGCAGGGGAGACUGGAAUUCCUGGUGUAGCGGUGGAAUGCGCAGAUAUCAGGAGGAACACCGGUGGCGAAGGCGGGGUCUCUGGGCAGUAACUGACGCUGGAGGAGCGAAAAGCGUGGGGAGCGAACAGG
rnacentral:rRNA from 1 species